rnacentral:rRNA from 1 species
UACGGGGGGGGCAAGCGUUGUUCGGAAUUACUGGGCGUAAAGGGCGCGUAGGCGGCCUGCUAAGUCGGACGUGAAAUCCCUCGGCUCAACCGGGGAACUGCGUCCGAUACUGGCGAGGCUUGAAUCCGGGAGAGGGAUGUGGAAUUCCAGGUGGAGCGGUGAAAUGCGCAGAUAUCAGGAGGAACACCCGUAGCGAAGGCGGCACUCUGGGCCGAUUCUGACACUGAGGAGCGAAAGCGUGGGGAGCGAACAGG